GACGAACGCUGGCGGCGUGCCUAAUACAUGCAAGUCGAGCGCAGGAAGUCAUCCGAACCCUUUGGGGGGACGUUGACGGAAUGAGCGGCGGACGGGCGAGUAACACGUAAAGAACCUGCCCUCAGGUCUGGGAUAACCACGAGAAAUCGGGGCUAAUACCGGAUGGGUCAUCGGACCGCACGGGCCGAGGAUGACAGGCGCUCCGGCGCCGCCUUGGGAUGGCUUUGCGGUGCGUUUGCUAGUUGGGGGGGUAAUGGCACAACAAGGCGACGAUGCAUAGCCGACCUGCGUGGGUGAUCGGCCACACUGGCACUGAGACACGGCCCCGACUCCUUCGGGAGGCACCAGUAGGGAAUCUUCCACAAGGGACGAAAGUCUGAUAGAGCAACGCCGCGUGAACGAUGAAGGCCCACGGGUCGUAAAGUUCUGUUGUAAGGGAAGAACAAGUGCCGCAGGCAAUGGCGGCACCUUGACGUUCCCUUGCGAGAAAGCCAGCGCUAGAUACGUG
rnacentral:rRNA from 1 species